AGGCUGGCAGUUUCUGAGCAGAGCAGGCUCUCAAAUCCACCUCAUGGGCAGCUGCCAGCUCUGGACUUCAGGGUGUCCUGCCGCCCAAGGGCACAGCGAGAGUCAGCAAGCAUCGCUGCCUUACUGACUGUCAUGGUCUCUACCGGCCUAUCCCUCUGUCGGUCUGUGGUGCCCAUACCUCCUAUCAGUGCAUGGCCCUGACGCUAAGAUUGGGAAGGCAGAGACAAGUGGGGAAGGUUCAGAGAAAAGCAACAAAAAUGAUUCAGGAAAGAAAGGAAUUGAUAUGUGAAGACAAAAGCUCCAAGCAGUUAACUCAUCUGCCCGAAGUUGUAUGGUGAAGCUGGCGACCGGGGAGGCCAGGAGGCAUCCUGGUUAGAAAAGCAGCUUGAACGGAACCAUGAAAGACAGCCAGGCCACCCACAGAACUACAAGGGCUGGCAAAAUCCAUGCUAAACUCGGCUGUCCUCCCUCCUGGAUCUGUGCCCACGCAGCCAAGAUUCAAUGGACGAAAACAUACACCUCUGCUUACUGACCUCUCCUUGGUUCAUGACAACCUAUCUCAAAUGAGCACUCCACGCGACCCUGCAAUUUGAUUCUCUUUGUUUUUGUUUUGUUUUUUUUUGCUUUUUCUCCCAAAAAUCCCCCCAGCACAUACUUGUAUAUUUUAGUUGUGGGUCCUUCUAGUUGUAGCAUGUGGGAUGCCACC
rnacentral:lncRNA from 1 species